UGGGGAAUAUUGCACAAUGGGGGAAACCCUGAUGCAGCGACGCCGCGUGAACGAAGAAGGUAUUCGUAUCGUAAAGUUCUGUCCUAUGGGAAGAUAAGGACAGUACCAUAGAAGAAAGCUCCGGCUAAAUACGUGCCAGCAGCCGCGGUAAUACGUAUGGAGCGAGCGGUGUCCGGAAUUAUUGGGCGUAAAGGGUACGCAGGCGGUUUAAUAAGUCGAAUGUGAAAGAUCGGGGCUCAACCCCGCAAAGCAUUGGAAACUGAUAAACUUGAGUAGUGAAGAGGAAAGUGGAAUUCCUAGUGUAGUGGUGAAAUACGUAGAUAUUAGGAGGAAUACCAGUAGCGAAGGCGACUUUCUGGACACAAACUGACGCUGAGGUACGAAAGCGUGGGGAGCAAACAGG
rnacentral:rRNA from 1 species